rnacentral:lncRNA from 1 species
CUCGUUUGACUGACAAUGUCUUGAAUCCACUCCAAUAUAAGUGUUAUUCUGUCAGCAAAAAUGGUGAAAGAAUAACAUUGAGUUGAUCCGACUCCUUCAAAUUUACAGUGUGGCAACUCUCAUGCAACUCUUGUUCUCGUUUGAUCGGGGAACGAAAGUUGAGAAAACUCUCAUGCAACUCUUGUUCUCGUUUGAUCGGGGAACGAAAGUUGAGAAAACUCUCAUGCAACUCUUGUUCUCGUUUGACCGGGGAACGAAACUUGAGAAAACUCUCAUGCAACUCUUGUUCUCGUUUGCCCGGGGAACGAAAGUUGAGAAAAAUCUCAUGCAACUCUUGUUCUCGUUUGAACGGGGAACGAAAGUUGAGAAAAAUCUCAUGCAAAAGUUUCAGUCAAUCAAGGAUGAGAGUUGCUAUUCUCGCUCGCGUUUAACAACCAACUCUCAUCGACUCUCAAGCAUUCUCAUCAACGUUGAGCUGGUUCAAAUUUUGACGAGAGUUGAUGAGAGUUUCGCUACGCGUGUGGUAAUAUCCAUGCAACUCUUGUUCUUGUUUGACCGAGGCAUGAAGGUUGAAGAAACUCUCGUGCAAACUCUCGCUUGCCAACUCUCAUGCACUCUUAUUCUCGUUUGAUCCG